AAUACCUAAUGGCUAUAAAAGAUGCAUCGAUUCAAUGGACGCAUUGACUCGAUUGUUGCAUCGACAAGAAGGUCAUAUUUAUCCUUGUUAUAAACCCGCAACAUAGAGUUUGCGAGAUUACUUUCUUGAUUAAAGUACAAGAGUAUUUCAGUGUUUAUUUAUAAUAACCAUUUUUGGAUAUCCGUUGGGAUAAGUGUUUAACAUUUUGAAAUUCAUGUUCAUACACAAAAUGGUUUAGUAAUAUCGAUACGCAUCAAGCCAAUGAAUAAUUAAUAGUUUUCCCCAUCAUUAUUGGUUUUGGGUCAGAAACCAAAUAGUUUUCAUCUAAAAUCUUUGAAUGUGAAAAGUGCUCCACCACAGCACGCUGAGAUGAACCCUCAAAGGAGGAUAAGUAUACAUGUUGGAUAUGAAUGAUAACUAAGCCAUCCUAGAAGGAUUUAUAUAGCGCUCGUUUUGAACACUAUCAUAUUAUAUAGUCAGCUAUUCCAACAUAAGGGGGAGAAUGUAUACAGCUGGUGAAAAAAGAUAAAAAGAAAUGAAUUAUCAAUGAUCCUCGGAGUAAAGAAUGUAUAUUAAGAGUCCAAAAGAUAAUUUAAUUAUAGAAUUUAGCGUUGUAAUUGCCAGACGCAUUUGCUGACCCAAAUAAAGUGAUGAAGUCACUUAUACCAGUUGUAAAUUAAAUGCUCCAGAAUAUAAUGAGUGUCCUGUAAGGACCAACUUCAAACUGCUAUUGAGUCUUAAGAUCGCAUGAAGCGUAAUAGACCUUGGUUCCAAAUAUAAAUAUCCUCGUAAAAGUGAAGGAGCACAAAAUUAAAAAUGACCAAAUUGAGGAAAUAAAUAUUUUGAUGAUCUCUUGAAGAGAGUGAAUGAUCUCUAAAAGAGACAUAAACAUGACAAAUGAAACAUUCAAGUACUUGACAAUGAAGAGAUCUAGCUAGCUAUGUCAUGUCAAAAUAUAAUGGAAUCAAAAGCAAAUCGACGUCGUAAUAUAUUUGCAUGCUAUGAGCAGUUGAUAUUAUAGACAAAAAGGAGGAUCAUGAAAGAAAGUCUAUUGAAAAGUGUACACAAAGUAAUGAUUAGCCAAAAAAUGGAAAAGAAGAAAUAGACAUAUAAUUAUAAUUUCUAGUAGAGAUAUUUGGACUAGUAGUCUAUGCACAUGAUGUGUAAAACCAGUGGAAAAUAAAUGAGUUUUUAUGUGAAAGAAUAGUGAAAUUAAUGAGAUUUUCACAAAGAUAAGAAAUGUAUGAUGAAGAGAUAUAUUCUCUUGUGGUGGAUGUAAUAUUUUUUAAGUAUCUAAAGUCUGGCAAUAAGAGACGGAACACUGGAUAUGACAUUUAUAUGAAAUUCUUGAAAGAUAUAAUCUCUGAAGAUUAAUUAUAUGAGAAUUAUGUUCUCUAGAACUCUACUCGAUCGAAUAAAAAAA
rnacentral:sRNA from 1 species